GUCCACGCUGUAAACGAUGGACACUCGCUGUGAUUGGUAUAGACCCCGAUCGUAGCCAAGCUAACGCGAUAAGUGUCCCGCCUGGGGAGUACGGUCGCAAGAUUAAAACUCAAAGGAAUUGACGGGGGCCCCGCACAAGCGGUGGAUUAUGUGGUUUAAUUCGAAGCAACGCGCAAAACCUUACCUAGCCUUGACAUGCCCUUGACCGGUGUGGAAACACACCUUUUCUUCGGAACAGGGGACACAGGUGCUGCAUGGCUGUCGU
rnacentral:rRNA from 1 species